rnacentral:rRNA from 1 species
UGGGGAAUAUUGGACAAUGGGGGGAACCCUGAUCCAGCCAUGCCGCGUGUGUGAAGAAGGCCUUAUGGUUGUAAAGCACUUUAAGCGAGGAGGAGGGUACUGGUAUUAAUACUACCAGCUACUGGACGUUACUCGCAGAAUAAGCACCGGCUAACUCUGUGCCAGCAGCCGCGGUAAUACAGAGGGUGCGAGCGUUAAUCGGAUUUACUGGGCGUAAAGCGUGCGUAGGCGGCUAAUUGAGUCGGAUGUGAAAUCCCCGAGCUUAACUUGGGAAUUGCAUUCGAUACUGGUUAGCUAGAGUGUGGGAGAGGAUGGGAGAAUUCCAGGUGUAGCGGUGAAAUGCGUAGAGAUCUGGAGGAAUACCGAUGGCGAAGGCAGCCAUCUGGCCUAACACUGACGCUGAGGUACGAAAGCAUGGGGAGCAAACAGG